AGAUGGCGACCGGCGCACGGGUGAGUAACACGUAUCCAACCUGCCGAUAACUCGGGGAUAGCCUUUCGAAAGAAAGAUUAAUACCCGAUGGCAUAAUUAGACCGCAUGGUCUUAUUAUUAAAGAAUUUCGGUUAUCGAUGGGAUGCGUUCCAUUAGGCAGUUGGUGAGGUAACGGCUCACCAAACCUUCGAUGGAUAGGGGUUCUGAGAGGAAGGUCCCCCACAUUGGAACUGAGACACGGUCCAA
rnacentral:rRNA from 1 species